rnacentral:rRNA from 1 species
AUUGAACGCUGGCGGCAUGCUUUACACAUGCAAGUCGAACGGCAGCGCGGGCUUCGGCCUGGCGGCGAGUGGCGAACGGGUGAGUAAUACAUCGGAACGUGCCCAGUAGUGGGGGAUAGCUCGGCGAAAGCCGGAUUAAUACCGCAUACGACCUGAGGGUGAAAGCGGGGGAUCUUCGGACCUCGCGCUAUUGGAGCGGCCGAUGGCAGAUUAGCUAGUUGGUGGGGUAAAGGCCUACCAAGGCGACGAUCUGUAGCUGGUCUGAGAGGACGACCAGCCACACUGGGACUGAGACACGGCCCAGACUCCUACGGGAGGCAGCAGUGGGGAAUUUUGGACAAUGGGCGAAAGCCUGAUCCAGCAAUGCCGCGUGUGUGAUGAAGGCCUUCGGGUUGUAAAGCACUUUUGGCGGAACGAAAAGGACUGUGCCAAUACCACGGUUCGAUGACGGUACCCGCAGAAUAAGCACCGGCUAACUACGUG